rfam:Asian citrus Psyllid, Diaphorina citri - Florida Strain, whole genome shotgun sequence.
GCCUAGUUAGCUUAAUUGGUAGUGCGUCUGCCUUGUAAGCGCUAGGCCGCGGGUUCGAUUCCCGCCCGGGGGA